rnacentral:lncRNA from 1 species
AGGAGAUAACUUGCACCCACAGAUUCACUGUGACAUCAAAUAAUGAAGACAAUUAUGACUGUGUUGUCAUUUAGAUUUGGGGCUAGAUUGGCAGAGGGCCCAGCUAAGGGGCUAUAGGAACACUCAGCCAAUUUGAAGAGAGGAGUCUCAAGAAGAGACUAAAGCUGAGCAGACUUAAGGAAGCCCUUUCAAACAAGAAAGGAAAGGCUGGCACACCGUUUUAGUGAUUGUUCAAAGCCGAGUCAUCCCAUUGUCAUUUUAGGUCAUGAAACGUUUUCAAAUGGUUUCUUUCAAACUCUCAGCCAUAGCUGAACUACAGCAUUGUAUGAAGAAGGGACCUGGAUUAAAUUCAUACAUUCAACAGAUAUUAGGUACUGGAACUACUCUAGGCCCUGGAGGGACAGUACAGAACAAGAAGUGGUGCUCCCAGCAGAGUAGCACAGACAGGAAGAAUGCAGACAAGAAAUAUAUAAAAAAUAAGGAGGUAAUACAAUACCAGGUACUAUAUAUGUUUUGAAGAAAAUUCAAGCAGGGUAAGGAAACAGUGAGCGAUGGAAAGGUGGCAGAUUAGACAGGAAAGCCCCCUUAAAUAAAGUGGCAUGUGGGCCAACACCUGAAAGCAGUGAUGGAGAAAGUCAGGUGGAUAUGUGGGGGAAGGGCAUUCCAGACAGAAGCAACAGAAGUGCAGAGACCCUGAGGACUUGCUAAUGGACUGGAUAUAGGGAAUGAGAGAAAGAGAAGAAUCUGAAAUGACUUCUAGUUUGCUGGUCGGGAAAAUGAAUGAAGGUAAUGCCACUCAUUGGAAUGGGGAAGCCUUGAAGAAGUAUGGGUUUUGGAGGUUGGGAUGAAAGUCAAAAUUAAAUUUCGGUCAUGUUAAAUGUGAGAUGCCCAUUAGAUGUUCAAAUGGAGAUGACAAGUAUAUAUUGAAUAUAUGGGUCUGAAUCCAGGGGAAAAGCCAGGCCAGAGUCAUAAA